rnacentral:tRNA from 1 species
AGCAGUGUGACCAGAGAGGUUAUGGAUCUCUUUUACAAGGAGAACAAUGUUGGUUCGAGUCCAAUCGCUGCUACCA